GAUGAACGCUGGCGGCGUGCCUAAUACAUGCAAGUCGAGCGAAUGGAUUAAGAGCUUGCUCUUAUGAAGUUAGCGGCGGACGGGUGAGUAACACGUGGGUAACCUGCCCAUAAGACUGGGAUAACUCCGGGAAACCGGGGCUAAUACCGGAUAGCAUUUUGAACCGCAUGGUUCGAAAUUGAAAGGCGGCUUCGGCUGUCACUUAUGGAUGGACCCGCGUCGCAUUAGCUAGUUGGUGAGGUAACGGCUCACCAAGGCAACGAUGCGUAGCCGACCUGAGAGGGUGCUCGGCCACACUGGGACUGAGACACGGCCCAGACUCCUACGGGAGGCAGCAGUAGGGAAUCUUCCGCAAUGGACGAAAGUCUGACGGAGCAACGCCGCGUGAGUGAUGAAGGCUUUCGGGUCGUAAAACUCUGUUGUUAGGGAAGAACAAGUGCUAGUUGAAUAAGCUGGCACCUUGACGGUACCUAACCAGAAAGCCACGGCUAACUACGUGCCAGCCGCCGCAGUAA
rnacentral:rRNA from 1 species